UACGGGGGGAGCAAGCGUUGUUCGGAUUUACUGGGCGUAAAGGGCGCGUAGGCGGCCACCGCAAGUCAGUUGUGGAAGCUCUGGGCUUAACCCAGAAAGGUCAGCUGAUACUGCGGGGCUAGAGUGCAGAAGGGGCAACUGGAAUUCUCGGUGUAGCGGUGAAAUGCGUAGAUAUCGAGAGGAACACCUGCGGCGAAGGCGGGUUGCUGGGCUGACACUGACGCUGACAGCGCGAAAGCUAGGGGAGCGAACGGG
rnacentral:rRNA from 1 species